rnacentral:rRNA from 1 species
UGGGGAAUUUUGGACAAUGGGGGCAACCCUGAUCCAGCCAUGCCGCGUGCGGGAAGAAGGCCUUCGGGUUGUAAACCGCUUUUGUCGGGGAAGAAACGGUCUGCGCUAAUACCGCGGGCUAAUGACGGUACCCGAAGAAUAAGCACCGGCUACCUACGUGCCAGCAGCCGCGGUAAUACGUAGGGUGCAAGCGUUAAUCGGAAUUACUGGGCGUAAAGCGUGCGCAGGCGGUCGUGCAAGACAGAUGUGAAAUCCUCGGGCUCAACCUGGGAACUGCAUUUGUGACUGCACGGCUGGAGUGCGGCAGAGGGGGAUGGAAUUCCGCGUGUAGCAGUGAAAUGCGUAGAUAUGCGGAGGAACACCGAUGGCGAAGGCAAUCCCCUGGGCCUGCACUGACGCUCAUGCACGAAAGCGUGGGGAGCAAA